GAUGAACGCUGGCGGCGUGCUUAACACAUGCGAGUCGAACGAUGAAGCCCAGCUUGCUGGGUGGAUUAGUGGCGAACGGGUGAGUAACACGUGAGUAACCUGCCCUUAACUCUGGGAUAAGCCUGGGAAACUGGGUCUAAUACCGGAUAGGAGCGUCCACCGCAUGGUGGGUGUUGGAAAGAUUUAUCGGUUUUGGAUGGACUCGCGGCCUAUCAGCUUGUUGGUGAGGUAAUGGCUCACCAAGGCGACGACGGGUAGCCGGCCUGAGAGGGUGACCGGCCACACUGGGACUGAGACACGGCCCAGACUCCUACGGGAGGCAGCAGUGGGGAAUAUUGCACAAUGGGCGCAAGCCUGAUGCACCGACGCCGCGUGAGGGAUGACGGCCUUCGGGUUGUAAACCUCUUUCAGUAGGGAAGAAGCGAAAGUGACGGUACCUGCAGAAGAAGCACCGGCUAACUACGUG
rnacentral:rRNA from 1 species